AUUAAAAUCAUGAAAUGAAACUAAAAGAGGAAAAGAAAAGAUGGAUAUGGCAGAAUCUUGGAGAAACCAAACAUAUAACAUGAAUGAUUUUCCAAAGAUGUCUUGGUUUUCUUGUCUGUAAAAUGGUACUGGUAUAGUCUAUGGUUUCAAUCAUAGCUGAGCACAUGAAACAGAAUGCUCUGAUGUCUCCAGAUCCACAUUUGCAGAAUCAGUAUAUGGAUAGCGAAAGACAGCUUGAUAGGGAGUAUCAACAUGGUAAUAGAGAGCCAAUGAACUAAACCUGAACCUGAUGUGUCCAUCCUCCUAACAUAGGACCUGGCAGCUUCAGAAACUUCAGGUUCAAUAUUGCUUCAAUCUUACAGGCAAUGGAAGCUGGUUUCUCUGCUUGAAUGCAACUCGCUUCUUUUUAAGUGGUUCAAGUUUCCAAUAGCUGGGUUAUUUCCCCGUUUCACUUGUAUUGAGGUAUUCUAUGGAGAUACCGUCAUUGCAGAAUGUACAUAUAUUGUUUGGAUUUUCAGGUUUGGUUUUUACAUAUUUUGUAAACAACUGUGUAGAAAUCCAUAUGCUAUGAAAGACAUGCACUUUCUCUAGAUGUUCAUGCUUUCCUAUUAAUUUGUAUUCACUCUUACUUGGUAAA